CUUGUACACACCGCCCGUCACACCACGAAAGUCGGCAAUACCCGAAGCCGGUGAGCUAGCCCCUCGGGGAGGCAGCCGUCGAAGGUAGGGUUGAUGAUUGGGGUG
rnacentral:rRNA from 1 species